UCUCUGAUUGAAUCUAUUAAAUAGAUAAUUGAUUUUUGAAGCUUGUAUAAUUGUUAUGAAAGGAUAUUUGAUAGAUAUUGAAGAUCCUGAUAAUAGAAACUUUAAAAAAGAUAAUGAUUUGAAAUUCUUAUAUGUUCUGAUUAUGUCCUAAAUAGAGCAUCGAAGGAUUUUCUCGUUGAUUUGACUUAUAAAGAUUUUGAUUUAGAAUUAUCGAAUUGAAUUGAUAUGAGAAUUAAGAUUUGAUUC
rnacentral:lncRNA from 1 species